CCUGCUUUUGUGUGUCUCUUCGUGCUCCAGCGGCGCCCCCCCAGCGCUCGAGCUCGAGCGAGAGAUCUGUCGUCGUCGCACCGACCAGCACGCUGCCAGCGAGCUGCCACAAGCACCUGCCAUGCCCGCAGCAACAGCGCCGCUGCCACAGCGUGCUGCAGCACCCCCAAGUGCUCCUAGACAGCUCUCUCGGUCCCCGUGCGCUUCCCCAGCUGCCUCUGUGCAGGCCUGCGCUUGCUGUGGCUGGCACGUCGUUGCAGGCGUGGGCCACCAGCACUGCGUCCGUGCCGUCCCCCAGCUAUAGGUGAUGUAUACAUCACCCCCAACGACCUGCACAUUCUGUACAUGUUGGCACUUUUGCAGCGUGCAGCAGCAGCACCCCCGCAGUCGCCUCACCAGCUCACGCAGUGCGCGCAGUGUAUGCACCGGCAAGCUGCAGCAUCCCGACAUGCCACCCGCGGGCCCUCGUCCGGGUUCUCGACGCCCCCAUUCCUUUCCCAUGUCGCCAAUAGCUGUUUUGGUGCCGUGUCUCGCGCCAGCAUUUGCCUGCGCCUCGCACCCGGGCGCAAGCUGUUGCAGCGCACUGAGCUCGUCCACCACCGCCCAUGCCACACUGCGCGCUCGCUGCCAGUGACCCUUCUGUGUAGGCCUGGCUGUCUAGCUGCUGAAAACGCUCGACCUGUCGUGAUACGGUCAUACCACGA
rnacentral:misc_RNA from 1 species